rnacentral:rRNA from 1 species
CAGUCGCCACGGUAAUGCGAAGGGGGCUAGCGUUGCUCGGAAUGACUGGGCGUAAAGGGCGCGUAGGCGGAUUGUUUAGUUAGGCGUGAAAUUCCUGGGCUUAACCUGGGGACUGCGCUUAAUACAGGCAGUCUAGAGUGAGGAAGAGGGUUGUGGAAUUCCCAGUGUAGAGGUGAAAUUCGUAGAUAUUGGGAAGAACACCGGUGGCGAAGGCGGCAACCUGGUCCUUGACUGACGCUGAGGCGCGAAAGCGUGGGGAGCAAACAGGAUUAGAUACCCGGGUAGUCCCUGUCUCUAUACC